UUAAGCGACUAAGCGUACACGGUGGAUGCCCUGGCAGUCAGAGGCGAUGAAGGGCGUGCUAAUCUGCGAUAAGCGCCGGUAAGGUGAUAUGAACCGUUAUAACCGGCGAUACCCGAAUGGGGAAACCCAGUGUGACUCGUCACACUAUCAUUAACUGAAUCCAUAGGUUAAUGAGGCGAACCGGGGGAACUGAAACAUCUAAGUACCCCGAGGAAAAGAAAUCAACCGAGAUUCCCCCAGUAGCGGCGAGCGAACGGGGAGGAGCCCAGAGCCUGAAUCAGCAUGUGUGUUAGUGGAAGCGUCUGGAAAGGCGCGCGAUACAGGGUGACAGCCCCGUACACAAAAGCGCAUGUGCUGUGAGCUCGAUGAGUAGGGCGGGACACGUGGUAUCCUGUCUGAAUAUGGGGGGACCAUCCUCCAAGGCUAAAUACUCCUGACUGACCGAUAGUGAACCAGUACCGUGAGGGAAAGGCGAAAAGAACCCCGGCGAGGGGAGUGAAAAAGAACCUGAAACCGUGUACGUACAAGCAGUGGGAGCCCCACCACUAAGCCAGUGGUGAACUCCACAUACGCAUCCUUUGCUGAGGAUGCGGUUAACGGAGCGAAAGCGACGUUCAACCGCAAAAGAAGCAGAGGGGGCUUAGUGGUGGGGUGACUGCGUACCUUUUGUAUAAUGGGUCAGCGACUUAUAUUCUGUAGCAAGGUUAACCGAAUAGGGGAGCCGGAGGGAAACCGAGUCUUAAUUGGGCGUUAAGUUGCAGGGUAUAGACCCGAAACCCGGUGAUCUAGCCAUGGGCAGGUUGAAGGUUGGGUAACACUAACUGGAGGACCGAACCGACUAAUGUUGAAAAAUUAGCGGAUGACCUGUGGCUGGGGGUGAAAGGCCAAUCAAACCGGGAGAUAGCUGGUUCUCCCCGAAAGCUAUUUAGGUAGCGCCUCGUGAAUUCAUCUCCGGGGGUAGAGCACUGUUUCGGCUAGGGGGCCAUCCCGGCUUACCAACCCGAUGCAAACUGCGAAUACCGGAGAAUGUUAUCACGGGAGACACACGGCGGGUGCUAACGUCCGUCGUGAAGAGGGAAACAACCCAGACCGCCAGCUAAGGUCCCAAAGUCAUGGUUAAGUGGGAAACGAUGUGGGAAGGCCCAGACAGCCAGGAUGUUGGCUUAGAAGCAGCCAUCAUUUAAAGAAAGCGUAAUAGCUCACUGGUCGAGUCGGCCUGCGCGGAAGAUGUAACGGGGCUAAACCAUGCACCGAAGCUGCGGCAGCGAACGUAUCACUUAAAGCGAUUCAGCGGGUUACGAUUGACGGAGCGAAGCGACGUCAAAGCGUAUACAAAGUCGAGUCGGUUUAAGGAUACGUUCGUUGGGUAGGGGAGCGUUCUGUAAGCCUGCGAAGGUGGCCUGUGAGGGUUGCUGGAGGUAUCAGAAGUGCGAAUGCUGACAUAAGUAACGAUAAAGCGGGUGAAAAGCCCGCUCGCCGGAAGACCAAGGGUUCCUGUCCAACGUUAAUCGGGGCAGGGUGAGUCGACCCCUAAGGCGAGGCCGAAAGGCGUAGUCGAUGGGAAACGGGUUAAUAUUCCCGUACUUGGUGUUACUGCGAAGGGGGGACGGAGAAGGCUAUGUUGGCCGGGCGACGGUUGUCCCGGUUUAAGCGUGUAGGUGUGUGUGCCAGGUAAAUCCGGUUCACUUUAACACUGAGGCGUGACGACGAGGCACUACGGUGCUGAAGCAACAAAUGCCCUGCUUCCAGGAAAAGCCUCUAAGCAUCAGGUAACAUCAAAUCGUACCCCAAACCGACACAGGUGGUCAGGUAGAGAAUACCAAGGCGCUUGAGAGAACUCGGGUGAAGGAACUAGGCAAAAUGGUGCCGUAACUUCGGGAGAAGGCACGCUGACACGUAGGUGAAGUGAUUUACUCACGGAGCUGAAGUCAGUCGAAGAUACCAGCUGGCUGCAACUGUUUAUUAAAAACACAGCACUGUGCAAACACGAAAGUGGACGUAUACGGUGUGACGCCUGCCCGGUGCCGGAAGGUUAAUUGAUGGGGUCAGCGCAAGCGAAGCUCCUGAUCGAAGCCCCGGUAAACGGCGGCCGUAACUAUAACGGUCCUAAGGUAGCGAAAUUCCUUGUCGGGUAAGUUCCGACCUGCACGAAUGGCGUAAUGAUGGCCAGGCUGUCUCCACCCGAGACUCAGUGAAAUUGAACUCGCUGUGAAGAUGCAGUGUACCCGCGGCAAGACGGAAAGACCCCGUGAACCUUUACUAUAGCUUGACACUGAACAUUGAGCCUUGAUGUGUAGGAUAGGUGGGAGGCUUUGAAGUGUGGACGCCAGUCUGCAUGGAGCCGACCUUGAAAUACCACCCUUUAAUGUUUGAUGUUCUAACGUGGACCCGUGAUCCGGGUUGCGGACAGUGUCUGGUGGGUAGUUUGACUGGGGCGGUCUCCUCCUAAAGAGUAACGGAGGAGCACGAAGGUUGGCUAAUCCUGGUCGGACAUCAGGAGGUUAGUGCAAUGGCAUAAGCCAGCUUGACUGCGAGCGUGACGGCGCGAGCAGGUGCGAAAGCAGGUCAUAGUGAUCCGGUGGUUCUGAAUGGAAGGGCCAUCGCUCAACGGAUAAAAGGUACUCCGGGGAUAACAGGCUGAUACCGCCCAAGAGUUCAUAUCGACGGCGGUGUUUGGCACCUCGAUGUCGGCUCAUCACAUCCUGGGGCUGAAGUAGGUCCCAAGGGUAUGGCUGUUCGCCAUUUAAAGUGGUACGCGAGCUGGGUUUAGAACGUCGUGAGACAGUUCGGUCCCUAUCUGCCGUGGGCGCUGGAGAACUGAGGGGGGCUGCUCCUAGUACGAGAGGACCGGAGUGGACGCAUCACUGGUGUUCGGGUUGUCAUGCCAAUGGCACUGCCCGGUAGCUAAAUGCGGAAGAGAUAAGUGCUGAAAGCAUCUAAGCACGAAACUUGCCCCGAGAUGAGUUCUCCCUGAGACUUAGAGUCUCCUGAAGGAACGUUGAAGACGACGACGUUGAUAGGCCGGGUGUGUAAGCGCAGCGAUGCGUUGAGCUAACCGGUACUAAUGAACCGUGAGGCUUAACCUU
rnacentral:rRNA from 1 species